UACGUAGGGGGCAAGCGUUGUCCGGAAUCAUUGGGCGUAAAGCGCGUGUAGGCGGUUCGGUAAGUCUGCUGUGAAAGUCCGGGGCUCAACCCCGGAUCGGCCGUGCCGACUGUUAGGCUAGAGUACUGUAGGGGCAGGCGGAAUUCCGGGUGUAGCGGUGGAAUGCGUAGAGAUCCGGAGGAAGACCGGUGGCGAAGGCAGCCCCCUGGGCUGACACUGACGCUGAGGCACGAAAGCGUGGGGAGCAAACAGG
rnacentral:rRNA from 1 species